rnacentral:lncRNA from 1 species
CUGAAAUUGUGUCCUUCUGAAGUUCUUUUGUUGAAGUUCUAGUUCUAGUACCUCAGAAGAUGACCUUGUUUCAAGAAAGAGUAUUUGCAGAAGUAAUGAAGUGAAAGUGGCUUCAUCAGGGUGGGCUCUAAUCUGAUAGGACUUGUGUCUUCAUGAAGAGGGGGCCUUUGGGCAUGGAGACACACAUAGACAGGGAAUGGUAUGAAGAACACAAGGAGGAGCUGGUCAUGCACAAGCCCAGGGCAAAGGCCCAGAGCCAAGACUUCUCUCAGGGGCCUGGAAAGGACCAGUCCUACCAGCAUCUUGACCUUGGGCUUUCAGCCUCCAGAACUGAGACAGUAAUUUCUGCUGUUGAAGCUCCUGUUUUGUGGUACUUUGUUAUGGUUGCCGUGGUGAACUUGUACAAGGGAUGCCGCCAAUAAGCAGAUAGGAAUGAAUUUUUUUGUUUUUUUAGAAAAAGGGUUGUGAUAAGUGCUCUGGAGAAGAAGAUAGGCUGAAGAAAAAAAGUUGGGAAAGGGCUGCUUGGAGAUCACAUGAGGCAACUUUCACAGACCAGAAGGAAAUGAGACAGCAGCUGAAGCAGGCUUUAUCCUGGGCCCUGACAGCUCUCAGCUCAUAAUCUAGUGGGAAGAAGAGACAUAUAGCAACCAAACAGAUAAAUGUGUAUUAAAACUGCCAACAAGGAAACCAGAGAUCUUGGACACAGUGACAGAAAAACAAAUCCCACCAACACCAGAGGCAGCCAGGACCAGCUGACACCUUCAGGGCCACCUUUUGGGACCCUGAUAAGAAGACCCAGAUGACGGACCUCUGACCCACACAGAUCGUUAGGAAGCAAGCUGGCCUUGCAGGUUCAGCUUGUCGCAGGUGGUUAUGCACCGUGGAAAAGGACUGCAUAGAGGAUGGUCAAAGAGGGCCUCUCUGAGAGGCUGACCCCAACCUGAGAUGGAAGGUGAGGAGGAAUCAGGCCUGGGAAGAAGGAUGAGGAAAAAAGUUCCAGAUGAAGGACUCCAGUAGGAACCAAGCCGGCUCCAGGAUGGCAGCGGUGACCUUCGAGGUGGACCUGUCCCUUGUCUCCCCCAUCACCUCUCCAGUGAUGGGAAGUGGACGCCAACUCUCAUUUCCAGCACAGCCUUGAAAAAUCUUGCUAGCUCGCCUGCACCAACUGCCUCCUGCCUGCCGUUUCUGCCACUUGGACCUCGUCUUGCAACCUUUGUGCCCUGAGCUGCUGGGCCAGAAAAAAAGCUCAAGUGUGAAUGGAGGGAGGGAGGGAGAGAGAGAGAGAGGAAAUACAGAGCUUUCAGAUUAACAGUACGAGGAAAAAUGGUGAAGCCCAGGCUGGCUUGGAGCAGGGCAGGAGCUCUAGUCUUCGCCUUCACCUUGGACAUCAUCUCCUGGCUUCCAGCGCAGACUCUUCAGCUUCUGGCCCAGAUCUUUCAGCUUUCUGGUGACAUAGACUCUUCAGCCUUCCAGUGUAGUCUCAUUGGCCUCCUGAUACAGACUUACAUGGGACACUGCAGUGAGCUCCAGACCUUCGACUAAAUCCUCAGGUUUCCAGCAUGCAAACAGACCCUCUGCACUCUUUCUCAUCCGACUCUAGCCCUAGAGGCAGAGAAGAUGCAGGCCAUCAUGCCCAUUUCACAGACAGAGAAGCCGACAUCCUGAACAGGUGGAUCAGCCUAGAAAAGGAAGCACAACCUUGUGUGACAUUACCAUGGAAGUUUCACUUAGUACGUAUGUGUUUAAUGAAUAUAAUGAAGGAGCAGUUUUAUUCCUAGUGUCAGGUAUGUAAUCACACACCUAUAUGUUUAUUCAUUCUUUUGUUAAAAUCACUAAAUUUUAACAUUCAUCAGAGAAGUUUUCAGUUUUCUAUUGCUGUAUGCCAAAAAGCCUAAAAUAUAGUGGCUUAAAACCAAUAAUUUAUUAUUUCUCAUGAGUUUGUGAGCUAGGAAAUUGGGCAUAGCUCAGCAAGGGUGGUUCUUCUGGUCCACGUGGUGUCACAAAAGUCUCUCAAGCUCAUUAUGCUGGAAGUUGCGGACAGCUGUGUGGUGGUUAAUAGUUUGUGUCAACUGGGCUGGACUCUGUUGCCCAGACACUCUGUCACAUGUUAUUCUGAUGUUCUAUGAGGGUGUUUUUGGAUGGAAGUGACAUUUAAAUUGUUGAACUUUGAGCAAAGCUAGUUGCUUUCCAUAAUGUGGAUGGGUGAACUUUGUCCAAUCACUGAAAGUCUUGAAUAAAAUAAAAGUCCGACCUUCACCAAACAAGCAGGAAUUCUUCAGUAGAGUCUUUGGAACUGUACUAUAAUGUUUGCUCUUUGUGGUCUCCAGUUUGAUGGCCACCCUGAAGAUUUUGGACUUAUCAGAUUCCAUAAUAGCAUGAGCCAAUUACUUAAAUCUCUCUCUCUCUCUCUCUCUCUCUCUCUCUCUCAGUAGUGAUCUAUAGAUACAUAUAGAUUACCUAUCUACCUAUCAAUCCUUUAUGUAUCUAUUUGGUAUUUUGUUGUAUUCCACUGGUCAAAGCAAAUCACAACCAGUCCAGGGUCAAGGUGAGGAUACAUAGACUCCACCUCAUAACAG